UUCUGCGGCGCUUGUGUAACACGUCUCUCCGUGCUAGUGAUCCUGGUAUGGACUACGCCUCUCACGUACUUUACCCUCGUCCGGCCGCUACCCUUUUUGAACGCCCCGUCGUCUAUACACGCCCCUCACCCCUUUCGCGUAUUUCCUCACCAUACCCUUCGACUCUCCGCCCGCGCUCCCCCCCCCCUGUUCAUCUUCUCGCGACCUCUCCCUCUGCCCUCUUCCCCAUCUAGGUUGGUCCGAGUGAAUACUCCCCCUCCCCUCCCUUUUCCUCUCCCCCCCCGCCGCACCACCCUCCCUCCUCUCCUUCCCACGUCCAGCUCCACUGCAAUAGUUGCCCUACGAUUUCAUCGCGGCGCCGGCCCCCGUGGGCAUUCGUGCUGGUCUGCUUGUCGACACUCCUCUCUCCUGCGUUCUACCCUUCUUCCACUCCCCCGCCUACCUAUCUUUCACCCGAUGGUGCCCCUCCCCCCCCCCCCCGCCCUGGGAGUUUUACUUUAGAAGAGGUGGGGGUCCCCCCCCCCCCCCCUGGCGGUUUCGGACUGGCCUACACACGUGCUACAAUGGCGGUGACAAAAAAAAACGAUGGAGCGAUCCUGAGNUAAUCCCGAAAAGCCGUCUCAGUUCGGAUUGCACUCUGCAACUCGAGUGCAUGAAGUUGGAAUCGCUAGUAAUCGCGGAUCAGCAUGCCGCGGUGAAUACGUUCCCGGGCCUUGUACACACCGCCCGUCACGCCAUGGGAGUUGGCUUUACCCGAAGCCGGUGCGCUGACCUCGCAAGAGGAGGCAGCCGACCACGGUAAGGUCAGCGACUGGGGCGAAGUCGUAACAAGGA
rnacentral:rRNA from 1 species